UCAGGAGGGGAUGCUCUGACGUUGUGUGCAUCCUACAGCAUCCUGUAACCCAGACCUGUACCUCAACAGAGCUACACUGCAUAAAUAUGAGGAGAAUUACACAGGGGCCCUGGAAGGGUUUUCCCAUGCAGCAGCCCUUGAUCCAGCCUGGCCCGAACCCCAGCAGUGCCAGCAGCAGCUCCUGGAUUUCUUGUAGCAUCUCACCAGCCUCCUGGAGAUCAAGGGCAAAGUGAAGGGUAAGAAGUGGCAGAGCAUGCUGGGAAGCCUGCACCCAUCCCAGCUGGGCCCCUGUGGGGAUGGGUAGUACCAGGGUUCCUCGGGACAGAAGGCGGCACUGGAGCAUCGGCCCUUGAGAGCCCUGCAGCCGGGCGUGAACACGGGGGCCGUAGUGCUGGGUAGGGUGGUCGUCAGCCUCACCACAGACAAGAAGGUGCCCU